UGCCAGACUAUUUGUCACUUAAUCCAACUGUAAACAGCUGUAAAAUUACAUCUUAAUAUUUUUAUGUGUUCACUUUUACUGUGCAGUAUUUUCAUUCUCAACUAGUACACCACAAUCACAAACAGCAUGUUAGAACCAACGGUGUAAUGAGCUCAGAGUUGACAGCAACAAGUGGACUAUGAGUAUUCAAGUAACGUCAGCUACAUCUAAGACCUUGAGAGCUCUCUAUCAGUGCUGAUUUCUGUUGACCUGACAAAAUGUUGAAAAGUUGUAAAACGAUCGUCA
rnacentral:lncRNA from 1 species